rnacentral:rRNA from 1 species
UUGGAGGGCAAGUCUGGUGCCAGCAGCCGCGGUAAUUCCAGCUCCAAUAGCGUAUAUUAAAGUUGUUGCAGUUAAAAAGCUCGUAGUUGAACUUCGGGAUCAAAUAAUCGGUCGUGCCUCCGGUACGUACUGGUUUUAUUGGUUCCUCCCUUCUGACGAACCAUGAUGUCAUUAAUUUGAUGUGGUGGAGAAUCAGGACUGUUACCUUGAAAAAAUUAGAGUGUUUAAAGCAGGCUAACGCUUGAAUACAUUAGCAUGGAAUAAUGAAAUAGGACGUUCGACGUUGGUUUCUAGGAUCACCGUAAUGAUUAAUAGGGAUAGUUGGGGGCAUUAGUAUUCAAUUGUCAGAGGUGAAAUUCUUGGAUUUAUUGAAGACUAACUACUGCGAAAGCAUUUGCCAAGGAUGUUUUCAUUAAUCAAGAACGAAAGUUAGGGGAUCGAAGACGAUCAGAUACCGUCGUAGUCUUAACCAUAAACUAUGCCGACUAGGGAUCGGACGAAGUUAAUUUUAUAAUGACGCGUUCGGCGCCUUACGGGAAAC